CUGUUCUGAACACUGAACUUUUAAUUUAGAGUUUAACGUGUUGCUUGUUGGUGCAGGCACAGUACUAAAUGCUUGUUGACGAAAUGAAGGCGCUCCUACCUGGGAUGGUUCCAGUCUAUGAAAAUAACAGUAAUGUUGUGACAAGCGUCAUGGUGGUCACUUGCACUACGAUCGUGGCUAGGGCUGUGGCGUCCUCUUUGUCAGCCAAGUAUUAGUGCGCCACCCGGUUCUUCAACGAGAGACGGUGCUGUUCAUGAUGAGUUCACUUCCUAUCUGUGGGGACUUAGUACAAGUGCAUGUAAAAUGCAAUAGAAGUGUGGUUAUGAAGUUCACUAUUUUAUGAGUGUUUGGUUCAACAGUUCUGUUAUUUGGGACACAAAUCUGACCGGCAACAACCUCACCCAUAAAAAUGAAAAAGAAGCAGUUCCAGAUGGACGCCAUGGAAGUUCACUGGUUAGUUAAAUCACCUCUUGGGACGGUUCCUUUCUUCCUCUGUAUGUAUCUGAUAUAGAGAUAGAGGUUGAUCCUUGUACGGAAGAAAGGUAGUUCACAUUGUUUACCACUGUGAGUUCACUUGAUAUUUUCUUGGAGUUCAUUUUUUGACUGACGCUUUAGUUCAAAAGUGAAAUAGAGAAGAUACAUUGCUUUGAAGUUCACCUUUGUGUCUGUGAAAAGUUCGGUUUUAAACUACUAGAAUGUUCCCCUUUUUUGAAUAAAUAAAUGAUCUUUUGUUUGGAAGAAUUUGAUUGGACCUGCAAAAAUAAAUUUACUUUACCAUAAAAAGGAAGUCCACUUAUUAAACAACAGUAGCCCACUUAUUAAACAACAGUAGCGUAUUAGCUUAAAAAAUAGAAGCUCAACAGAGUAUAGCUUAUUAGCUUCAAAAUUCCCGAGGUUCAGUUUUGUAUUCUUCCGAAGUUCUGUUUACUAUUUCUUCUGAAAUUCAGUUCAAAGUCAUGUAAAAUCAAAAUUAGAACCUUCACGUUGUCCAUAUUCCGUGGCAGCCCCCUGCAGCUGCAACUUGUCCAGCCAUUAGUACUUCCGAAGUUCAUUUUUAUUUGUCGAGGAGUUCAGAAUCACCUAUCACGGGGUUCACUUUUAUUUUA